rnacentral:rRNA from 1 species
AAACAUCGCCUCUUGCUAACAAACAUGUAUAAGAGGUCCAGCCUGCCCAGUGACUAUAUGUUCAACGGCCGCGGUAUUCUGACCGUGCAAAGGUAGCGUAAUCACUUGUCUUUUAAAUAAAGACUGGUAUGAACGGCACCACGAAGGUUCAACUGUCUCCUGCAUCCAAUCCAUUAAACUGACCUCCCCGUGCAGAGGCGGGGAUUUAACCAUAAGACGAGAAGACCCUAUGGAGCUUUAAACUAAAGGCAACUGCCAACUACAACCUAACCCAUAAGGAAAUAAUAAUAAAACAAGCAGAAAUUGACCUAAAGUUUUCGGUUGGGGCGACCGCGGAGAAUAAAAAAUCCUCCUUGAAGAAUAGGGCCUACUACCCUUAACCAAGAACAACUAUUCUAAGUAACAAAAUUUAUGACUAUUAUUGAUCCAGUCUUACUGAUCAACGAACCAAGUUACCCUAGGGAUAACAGCGCAAUCCAUUUCAAAAGUUCCUAUCGACAAAUGGGUUUACGACCUCGAUGUUGGAUCAGGGCAUCCCAGUGGUGCAGCCGCUACUAAAGGUUCGUUUGUUCAACGAUUAAAGCCCUAC